rnacentral:rRNA from 1 species
UACGGAGGGUGCGAGCGUUACCCGGAUUUACUGGGUGUAAAGGGCGCGUAGGCGGUUGUCUAAGUCCGAUGCUAAAGACUGGGGCUCAACCCCAGGAGUGCGUUGGAUACUGGAGAGCUAGACGGUCGGAGAGGGUAGCGGAAUGGUCAGAGUAGCGGUGAAAUGCGCAGAUACUGAUCGGAACGCCAAUAGCGAAAGCAGCUACCUGGACGACAAGUGACGCUGAGGCGCGAAAGCGUGGGGAGCAAACCGG